rnacentral:rRNA from 1 species
UGCAAGUAGAACGCUGAAGAGAGGAGCUUGCUCUUCUUGGAUGAGUUGCGAACGGGUGAGUAACGCGUAGGUAACCUGCCUUGUAGCGGGGGAUAACUAUUGGAAACGAUAGCUAAUACCGCAUAACAAUGGAUGACACAUGUCAUUUAUUUGAAAGGGGCAAUUGCUCCACUACAAGAUGGACCUGCGUUGUAUUAGCUAGUAGGUGAGGUAAUGGCUCACCUAGGCGACGAUACAUAGCCGACCUGAGAGGGUGAUCGGCCACACUGGGACUGAGACACGGCCCAGACUCCUACGGGAGGCAGCAGUAGGGAAUCUUCGGCAAUGGGGGCAACCCUGACCGAGCAACGCCGCGUGAGUGAAGAAGGUUUUCGGAUCGUAAAGCUCUGUUGUAAGUCAAGAACGGGUGUGAGAGUGGAAAGUUCACACUGUGACGGUAGCUUACCAGAAAGGGACGGCUAACUACGUGCCAGCAGCCGCGGUAAUACGUAGGUCCCGAGCGUUGUCCGGAUUUAUUGGGCGUAAAGCGAGCGCAGGCGGUUUGAUAAGUCUGAAGUUAAAGGCUGUGGCUCAACCAUAGUUCGCUUUGGAAACUGUCAAACUUGAGUGCAGAAGGGGAGAGUGGAAUUCCAUGUGUAGCGGUGAAAUGCGUAGAUAUAUGGAGGAACACCGGUGGCGAAAGCGGCUCUCUGGUCUGUAACUGACGCUGAGGCUCGAAAGCGUGGGGAGCGAACAGGAUUAGAUACCCUGGUAGUCCACGCCGUAAACGAUGAGUGCUAGGUGUUGGAUCCUUUCCGGGAUUCAGUGCCGCAGCUAACGCAUUAAGCACUCCGCCUGGGGAGUACGACCGCAAGGUUGAAACUCAAAGGAAUUGACGGGGGCCCGCACAAGCGGUGGAGCAUGUGGUUUAAUUCGAAGCAACGCGAAGAACCUUACCAGGUCUUGACAUCCCGAUGCUAUUUCUAGAGAUAGAAAGUUACUUCGGUACAUCGGUGACAGGUGGUGCAUGGUUGUCGUCAGCUCGUGUCGUGAGAUGUUGGGUUAAGUCCCGCAACGAGCGCAACCCCUAUUGUUAGUUGCCAUCAUUCAGUUGGGCACUCUAGCGAGACUGCCGGUAAUAAACCGGAGGAAGGUGGGGAUGACGUCAAAUCAUCAUGCCCCUUAUGACCUGGGCUACACACGUGCUACAAUGGUUGGUACAACGAGUUGCGAGUCGGUGACGGCGAGCUAAUCUCUUAAAGCCAAUCUCAGUUCGGAUUGUAGGCUGCAACUCGCCUACAUGAAGUCGGAAUCGCUAGUAAUCGCGGAUCAGCACGCCGCGGUGAAUACGUUCCCGGGCCUUGUACACACCGCCCGUCACACCACGAGAGUUUGUAACACCCGAAGUCGGUGAGGUA